CUCAUUUUUCUCUUGCCACCACCAUGUUAAGAAGAGCCUUUUGCCUCCCACCAUGAUUCUGAGGCCUCCCCAGCCAUGCAGAACUGUAAGUCCAAUUAAACCUCUUUUUCUUCCCAGUCUCGGGUAUGUCUUUAUCAGCAGCAUGAAAAUGGACUAAUACAGUAACUUGGUACCAGCAGAAGGGGUGCCUCUGAAAAGAUACCCAAAAAUGUGGAAGCAACUUUGGAACUGGGUAACAGGCAGAGGUUGGAACAGUUUGGAGGGCUCAAAAAAAGACAAGAAAAUGUGGGAAAGUUUGGUACUUUCUAGAGACUUGUUGAAUGCCUUUGCCCAAAAUGCUGAUAGCAAUAUGGACAAUAAAGUCCAGGCUGAGGUAGUCUCAGAUGGAGAUGAGGAACUUGUUGGGAAGUGGAGCAAAGAUGACUCUUGUUAUGUUUUAGCAAAGUGACUGGUGGCAUUUUGCCCCUGCUGUAGAGAUUUGUGGAAUUUUGAACUUGAGAGAGGUGAUUUAGGGUAUCUGUGGAAGAAAUGUCUAAGCAGCAAAGCAUUCAAGAGGUGACUUGGGUGCUAUUUAAGGCAUUCAGUUUUAAUAAGGAAGCAGAACAUAAAAGUUUGGAAAGUUUGCAGCCUGAAAAUGCAGUAUAAAAGAAAAAUCUAUUUUCUGAGGAGAAAUUCAUGAAAGCUGCAGAAAUUUGCAUAAGUAAUGAGGAGCCGAAUGUUAAUCCCCAAGACAAUGGGGAAAUGUCUCCAGGGCAUAUCAAAGGUCUUCAUGGCAGCCCCUCCCAUCACAGGCCCAGAGGCCUAGGAGGAAAAAAAUGGUUUUGAGGGCCAGGCCCAGGGUACCUGUGCUGUGUGCAGUCUAGGGACUUGGUGCCCUGCAUCCCAGCCACUUCAGCUAUGGCUGAAAGGGGCCAAUGUAGAGCGUGGGCUGUGGCUUCAAAGGGUGCAAGUCCCAGGGCUUGGCAGCUUCCACAUGGUGUUGAGCCUGCAAGUGCACAGAAGUGAAGAACUGAGGUUUGGGAACCUCAGCCUAGAUUUCAGAGGAUGUAUGGAAACGCCUGGCUGUGCAGGCAGAAGUUUGCUGCAGGGGCGGGGCUCUCAUGGAGAACCUCUGCUAGAGCAGUGCAGAAGGGAAAUGUGGGGUUGGAGCCCCCACAGAGAGUCCCUACUGGGGCACUGCCUAGUGGAGCUGUGAGAAGAGGGCCACUGUCCUCCAGACCCCAAAAUGGUAGACCCACUGACAGCUUGCACUGUGCACCUGGAAAAGCCGCAGACCGCAGACUCAACGCUCGCCCAUGAAAGCAGCCAGGAGGGAGGCUGUAUCCUGCAAAGCCACAGGGGCAGAGCUGUCCAAGACCAUGGGAACCCGCCUCUUGUUUCAGCAUGACCUGGAUGUGAGACAUGGAGUCAAAGAAGAUCAUUUUGGAGCUUUAAGAUUUGACUGCCCCACUGGAUUUCAGGCUUGCAUGGGGCCUAUAAUCCCUUUGUUUUGACAAAUUUCUCCCAUUUGAAAUGGCUGUAUUUACUCAAUACCUGUACCCCCAUUGUGUCUAGGAAGUAACUAGCUUGCUUUUGAUUUUACAGGCUCAUAGGUGGAAGAGACUUGCCUUGUCUCAGAUGAGACUUUGGACUGUGGACUUUUGGGUUAAUGCUGAAAUGAGUUAAGACUUUGGGGGACUGUUGGGAAGGCAUGAUUGGUUUUGAAAUGUGAGGACAUGAGAUUUGGAGGGGCCAGGGGUGGGAUGAUAUGGUUUGGCUCUGUGUCCCCACCUAGAUCUCAUUUUGAAUUGUACUCCCAUAAUUCCCACAUGUUGUGGGAGGGACCUGGUGGGAGAUAAUUUGAAUCAUGGGGGCAGUUUUCCCUAUACUGUUCCCAUGGUAGUGAGUAAGUCUUACAAGACCUGAUGGUUUUGUCAGGGGUUUCUGCUUUUGCAUCUUCAUCAUUUUUCUGUUGCCACUGCCAUGUAAGAAGUGCCUUUAACCUUCCACCAUGAUUCUGAGGCCUCCCCAGCCAUGUGGAACUGCAAGUCCAACUAUACCUCUUUUUCUUCCCAGUCUCAGGUAUGUCUUUAUCAGCAGCAUGAAAACGGACUAAUACACCUACAUUAAAGGGCAGAGAAGAGGCCGUGCUGGUUCAUCCAUAUAACUCA
rnacentral:lncRNA from 10 species